AAAUUGCAAUAUAUAUAAACGAGCUGUAUUUUAUAUAAGUCAUUUAUUUUGUAAAGUCUUUUCCCUCCAUAUUUAGUCCAAAAUAAUAGUAUCACAUUUAUUGGAAUCAUGAAAGUACCCAUUUGUACACUUGGCAUACUUUUAUUUGCUGGCUUUUUGGACCAUGCCAUGACUCAACAACCUCCGUCCGUUGAAGUUCCUCAACUUAUGGAUUGCGCCAACGACAUAGAGUGCGAAAAUAUCUGCAGAUCACGCUGUGAGGAUCCAUUUUUGUCUUUCUGUGCUAAUGAGUCCUGCUGGUGUCUUCCACUCUUCGACUAUCGAAGAUUCUAAGCCUAUGAAUUGAAAGACUGACGCAUAUUUGAUUAACGUGAAUUUUGUGCGUGUGUGGUACCUAAACGUACUUAUUUGUUAAUAUCACAAGCCUCACCUUUGCGUUAUAUAGAGUGUCAGUAUAAUAUAAAAUUGUUUCAUGCAAA